rnacentral:rRNA from 1 species
UACGGAGGGUCCAAGCGUUGUUCGGAAUUACUGGGCGUAAAGGGUGCGUAGGCGGCUCUCUAAGUCAGGUGUGAAAGCCCCGAGCUUAACUCGGGAACUGCACUUGAUACUGGAGGGCUAGAGAUUGGAAGAGGUGAGUGGAAUUCCUAGUGUAGAGGUGAAAUUCGUAGAUAUUAGGAAGAAUAUCAGUGGCGAAGGCGGCUCACUGGUCCAAUACUGACGCUAAGGCACGAAAGCGUGGGGAGCAAACAGG